UACGUAGGGUGCGAGCGUUGUCCGGAAUUAUUGGGCGUAAAGAGCUCGUAGGCGGUCUGUCGCGUCGAAUGUGAAAACCCGGGGCUCAACUCCGGGCUUGCAUUCGAUACGGGCAGGCUAGAGUUCGGUAGGGGAGUCUGGAAUUCCUGGUGUAGCGGUGAAAUGCGCAGAUAUCAGGAGGAACACCGGUGGCGAAGGCGGGACUCUGGGCCGAUACUGACGCUGAGGAGCGAAAGUGUGGGGAGCGAACAGG
rnacentral:rRNA from 1 species